UCUUUAAUGGAGAGUUUGAUCCUGGCUCAGGACGAACGCUGGCGGCGUGCCUAAUACAUGCAAGUCGAGCGGGGUUAGUUAGAAGCUUGCUUCUAACUAACCUAGCGGCGGACGGGUGAGUAACACGUAGGCAACCUGCCCACAAGACAGGGAUAACUACCGGAAACGGUAGCUAAUACCCGAUACAUCCUUU
rnacentral:rRNA from 1 species